UUUCACGCUAGAUUCUGCAAAUCACCCAACUAAUCUUGAUUUUGAUUCUCGAUCCUGCAAUAUCUAGCUCCAAAUAACACGCCACAUGUUCAAUCCAGUUUGAGGUCAUCUCAAUUCUAGCUAUCAAUCUCACCAUCGGUUCAAUUGACCUAAAUUUGAUUCCUCCAGAAUUGACAGCGAUUUCUUGCAAUUACAGCACUUGUGCAAUCGAUUUUUGUGCUCUCUGCAAUUCAUUCACAAAAUCGUUUGAAUAUGGGUGAAUCAAUUCAACUUUGACAUGGAUGUUUUUCUAGAAGUCGUAUAUUGCAGUCCAUACUAUCUGAACUGAUUCGGCUUUGAUUCGGCUUUAGAGAUUAGUACUUUUGCAGAAGAUUGCUUAGUUAUGCAGUAUAUAUCGCAUUACAUAGAACAGGUUUGGGAAGUAGUUCUACAAACGAUGCCCUGUUUGGGAGGUGUGAGUUUGGGGGAAUCCUGGAGGUAUUGCUUGAGGAGCGGUAGCUUGUGGGGGCGGCAGGAGCGGAGCUGGAGGUAAUCGGCGGUGGAGGAAUUGAGGCGCUGGAGGGCUAGGGUUCUGGUUAGGGUACGGACGCCGAGGGGAAAGUGAGAGACGUCGAGGUCUCUCAUGGUUUUCCUGCAGUUUUUACCAUCACACCUUUUCUUCUCAAUUUGGAGGGUUUUUCUCGAUUUUCCUGCUCGAUUUUUGUCUUCGCGGCUUCUCGCCGUUGAAGCUUUUCUUCUCAAUUUUUGAAUUUUCAUAUUUUCAUCUCAAUUCAGAUUUUUGAUUGUAGGAAUAUAAACAUCCCAAUACACAUAAGGGAUAUUUGAAUUUGCACAUGA